AGAUCCAUCUUAGACAUUGUAAAGGCUGAGCACUAGAGCCUGCACUUACUUCCCUUGAGCACCUGCUUCAUCCACAGCCUUGACUUUGGGCAGGUACUUGGCGUGCUAAACUGAACUUUCCCACAGUUCAGAGACAAAUCUCUCAUCUACAGAAAUGAUCCCAGAGCAAAGCUGGUUGUGUUACCAGAGGUAUGAGGGUAGUGCCUGCACAGAGACUGGGCAAAUCCUGGAAGAGAACGGCCUGGACCAUGCACUUAGGGUUUCAAUUACAAGGUUCACUUAAUGCAGAAAGCCUGCUGCUGCAGAAGGCCACAGAUGUUUUGUUACUCUUCCUUACUUCUUCCUAUCUUUACAGACAUCACAGACACACCGUGCAUAAUAUGGGUUUAUUCAAGCUUUCUGCUGGGAACUGUGACCUGACCCCAGAUCACUGAAGAUCUUAUCCCAGCUAGCAAGUGCCUGUUACUGCAAAACUGCAGUCACACCACAGCUGUGUUGGGAUCUGCUCUGCACUGCCAGUGAUACCACCGACAGCUUUUAGAUAGAAGGAAGCUGAGGCUAAAGAGCAGAGAAUAUUUCUCACCCCACAUUGUUCUCAGAGACUAUUUCUGGCACACAGGAAGGACUCGCAAAAUCACCAUCAAACUUAUUUUAGCCAAUUCCAUACACGACUUGAAGUAUUCCAGAGGUGUGCAUCAAGCCUCAGAGAACUGAUGGCAAAUUUCGUUCCCUGGUUAGACAUAGAACUAAAAGUAUGACACUCUAGGGGCUGUCAGGAAGUACUUUCUUUGAACAGCAGCGAAAACAGCCUUCAAAUGAUACAUGAGAAUAUUAGCAGGAGUGGGUCCAUUCUAAAAUGAACACUUUGAUAAUCAUAACAAUGUGGUUUGAAAAGCAUCACUUUAAAAGGUCAGCUAUACCACCCUCUGACUCCACAUUGAAAGCAUAGUGGAUAUAUUGAGUCAUACAUAUUGUUCAUUGUCAUUUGCAUUUGGUGAAAUCCCUGCAUUUUACUCAAUUUAGUAAGCAAGCACCGCCUUGGGCUCCCUUGGCAAUACUCACCUCUAAAUGCAGUUACUGUUUGUUGGGCUAAAACAUCUUGUCCCAUCCUGCAGCAGUAAAUCACUCUUUGGUCUUUUGAUCAGUGUUUGUCCUUUCAAGCCUGUGAGUCAUUUCACGUUAAUGGAAACAGAGGGAGCGGCACACUAGAGCAAUGUGGGUAUUUUGAGCUUCACCUCUGGGAUACAUUCAUGCAUGUUGCUCUGAACAAAAUGACCAUCUGUAUCAGUCUGCAGACUGCCACUAGUGCAUAAAGAUUUAACUUCA